rnacentral:rRNA from 1 species
GAUGAACGCUGGCGGCGUGCCUAAUACAUGCAAGUCGAGCGAACAGACGAGGAGCUUGCUCCUCUGACGUUAGCGGCGGACGGGUGAGUAACACGUGGAUAACCUACCUAUAAGACUGGGAUAACUUCGGGAAACCGGAGCUAAUACCGGAUAAUAUAUUGAACCGCAUGGUUCAAUAGUGAAAGACGGUUUUGCUGUCACUUAUAGAUGGAUCCGCGCCGCAUUAGCUAGUUGGUAAGGUAACGGCUUACCAAGGCAACGAUGCGUAGCCGACCUGAGAGGGUGAUCGGCCACCCUGGAACUGGAACACGGUCCAGACUCCUACGGGAGGCAGCAGUAGGGAAUCUUCCGCAAUGGGCGAAAGCCUGACGGAGCAACGCCGCGUGAGUGAUGAAGGUCUUCGGAUCGUAAAACUCUGUUAUUAGGGAAGAACAAAUGUGUAAGUAACUAUGCACGUCUUGACGGUACCUAAUCAGAAAGCCACGGCUAACUACGUG